AUGUUCACAAGGUUACUGCAUAAUAACAACAUCUCAGGCAAAAUACCACUGGAACUUGGAAACUUUCCCAAGCUUCCGACUUUAGAUCUUUCAAGCUGCUUUGUGGUGCUUUCAACAACGGAGACAUUGUCACCAAGGAUUCUAACAUAUUCUACAAUGCAAACUGCUUUAUUAAUUUUACUAUGUUUUUACACCUCUAUUCUAGGAAUUCUCAAACAAGAUCCUAACAUAUUGGUUGUUCACAUAAAUGAGCUACUACAGGUUCUAUCUUUUUCACUGACACUUGAUAGAAGAAUCAUUAUUUUUAGUUUUUCCAGUCAUUAG